ACUUUUUUUCUUCAUUACAGAGGAAACGAAAGCGGGCAGAUGAUCCAACCCCAGAAUCUGCCAUGGAACAACCAGAAAUCCCUGGCAAAAACACCUGCCAAGAGGAGAAAAAAGAGCCAGACUUGAAGCCGGCCAUAGAGAACUGCCGGGUAAGCGUAAGAGAGGGGAGGAGAGUAGG